rnacentral:rRNA from 1 species
AGUGGCGGACGGGUGAGUAACGCGUGAGAAUCUGCCUUGGGGUCGGGGACAACCACUGGAAACGGUGGCUAAUACCGAUAAGCCGAUUGGUGAAAGAUUUAUUGCCCGAAGAGGAGCUCGCGUCUGAUUAGCUAGUUGGUGAGGUAAGAGCUCACCAAGGCAGCGAUCAGUAGCUGGUCUGAGAGGACGAUCAGCCACACUGGGACUGAGACACGGCCCAGACUCCUACGGGAGGCAGCAGUGGGGAAUUUUCCGCAAUGGGCGAAAGCCUGACGGAGCAAGACCGCGUGAGGGAGGAAGGCUCUUGGGUUGUAAACCUCUUUUCUCAGGGAAGAAGCUCUGACGGUACCUGAGGAAUCAGCCUCGGCUAACUCCGUGCCAGCAGCCGCGGUAAUACGGAGGAGGCAAGCGUUAUCCGGAAUUAUUGGGCGUAAAGCGUCCGCAGGUGGCGAUUCAAGUCUGCUGUCAAAGCACGGGGCUUAACUCCGUAAAGGCAGUGGAAACUGAAUAGCUAGAGUGCCGUAGGGGUAGAGGGAAUUCCCGGUGUAGCGGUGAAAUGCGUAGAGAUCGGGAAGAACAUCGGUGGCGAAAGCGCUCUACUGGACGGCAACUGACACUCAGGGACGAAAGCUAGGGGAGCGAAUGGGAUUAGAUACCCC